CCUAUGCACUUGUUGUACGUCGCUCUGGAUAAGAGCAUCUGCUAAAUGCCUGUAAUGUAAAGUAUGUAGUAAACUUUGCUGUUGUAUAACGCAUGUAAUGUAUCUGAAUACUCUGUACCAUGUUAACAGUCUGCUACGAGACCUUUAGGAGUCACUCAUCAGCUCUGAUUGUCUGGGGACUGUGCAGGAGGCAGCAACAACAUCACCUCUUCUGGCCUCUACAGACUGGGGCACACGUAGCAGUCUGUCUGCUGAGAGGUGGAGGGAAGAGAGACCAUGCCUCGUAAACAGCAUGUUGGCCCAGGAAUAUGUAGCACCAACCGUGUGGGAGCAAUCCAGCAGCUAUCCAUUGUAGAGAUUGCCUCCCGAGCUUAUAUUUCUGUGCCAAAUGUGACAUCACCAUUCAUUCUGAAAGGCACGUCCAUAACCGAGGUGCCAUGACUCAUGGUUUCUUCCUGCCUUUUCCGCCAACCACUGUUGUUGAGGAUGAGGUUCUUUCUCAGUGUAUGUGGCCUUUACCUGUGGAGGUGCCCAUGCAGAUCUGCGGCUGCACGCCAGAGGCAUUGAAGGCCUGACCGGGAAAGCCAGUCGCUCUGGUCACCAUGAAUGAUAAGGAUGUGAAGAAGAUACAAUCUCAACGUGCCAGAGCUAAUUUUGCGAGACCUGCCAUGCCAUUUGGACGCCUGGGGUGGAUAACCUUAUGAAAAGUGGCUACUGGCCUGCCACCUUGAACUUCAGCACCAUUUAUGCCACCGACAUUUUUUGGUCUUUCCAAUAAAUGAAGACGGCGGCGCCAGGCAUGUCUUGCCAAGCAUUUCUCAAAAUGCUUGAUCAACGUACUAUACGCUUUGGUCGAAUGGGGAAGAUAUCAGCAGACACCUUCCAUAAAAGUUUUAUGGAGUGGGUUGCCGUCCAGUUCGAGGUGGACAACCUAUGUAAGGAAGACCACUUCCUCUGUCCUGCCUGCAACCCUCAUAUGCUUGCGGUUUCAGUGGAUGGCAACAAAAAGCAUUACCGGUUCAAGAACACGGCAAGGUCAGAGGAGCGGGCCAUCUUUGAAGGCGUCUUCAUAGCCAGGGACGAAGACGUCACAGCAUUUGGGGACUACGUCUUCAAAAAGACUAAACAUCUGAUGUAUACAGGAAAACAAGAGACGUCGCAGAGGUCAGCUAGCAAGUUGGAUGAGGAGGGUUUGGAGAUUGCGGUCUGCCGUCAUGGUUAAAUGGAGUGGGGCUUACCAGGCUGGGGCUGGUUCUACACUGGGGGAGGAGGUAGAACAGCCUUUCUCUCCAGGAUUGCAGUGACAACUAAACGUAUGUCAAAACCAGGACGUACAGACGAUGAGGUGGAAUCAGCAAAAGGUCGCAAAUUUGGCCACGUCACUGACCCGAAGAUAUCACCGGACCAACAAGGCUCUGGUGCAGUCCCUGGAGUCCAUGACAGAGCAGUUGGGAGUGGUAGAGCCAAUUGGACGACUGGGUGGAUGACAUGAAAUACUGGGCAGAAACAACAAUGACAGAAACAACAGCAGCAGCUGACUUGGGCAGUAAGAUCGAGGUCCUUGUGGCCGGGAUAAAACAACGGUCACAGCGGCUUUACAAGGAAAGAGAUGGCAACAAGGGUCGUGCCAGGCUCCGUGCGAAGAUCAGGACGGAGAAGGGGAUCCUGGCUGCUGUUGUGGAGAAGUACAACAGUAUGGUUCCAAGCGCACAAACUGUCUGUUUUGAAACCAUUCUGUCUCACGAAACAGCAUGGCCGUGUCAGGAACCACAAAGUGAUUUGGUUGAUCUAAGGACCAAAAAAAAGCCUUUGACCAAAUCAUGGCAUUAAGAAGACUCCAGGAGGAGAAGAAAAUGUUGGUCACAGAGAUGGACCGUCAUUGGAAGUCCCUUUUGAGUCCAUGCAUGUCAAUGAUAUAUUUCAUAAGUUCACAACAAUGAUUGUUGCUAAGGUUAACUAACCCAAGUGUUUCAUUGUGUUAUACUUAUAAGAUUCACAGUGGAUUCUGACCAAAGAAGGGUCCAAAGGACUGCAGUGCAUCAUCCAGAGAAAGCUAUGGAACCUUAAACGGAUGAAUGCUCGUGCAAGAGACUGUUACUUACAGAAGACAGCCAAUUGCUACAGGACAUCUCGAGUGACGAAUAUGAGAGUGGGAGUGGCUCUGAAAGCUGAGUUGUAAUGCAGUAUAAGUGCAGGGCAUUACCAAAUCUGUAGUAGCUAACUACAUUUUGACGUCUUCCUGUAUGUGACUGACCAGAGUCUCAGACCACACUCCCCCCCCCUUUCUCCUCCCCUCAGUCAUUAAAAAAGUUUCAGUUUAAAAAAUGACUGAAACCGGGGGUUUCAUCCCCCUUCAAGCUGGGUUAUGCUGGUCUAUUUUUUAACGUCUUUUCUGUCUUUCAUCUUUGUAUGUCUAAUAAAUUCAAGUCUGUUA